rnacentral:rRNA from 1 species
UACGGGGGGAGCAAGCGUUGUUCGGAUUUACUGGGCGUAAAGCGUGCGUAGGUGGUUCGUUAAGUCUGAUGUGAAAGCCCUGGGCUCAACCUGGGAAUGGCAUUGGAAACUGGCGAUCUAGAGUGCGGUAGAGGGUAGUGGAAUUCCCGGUGUAGCAGUGAAAUGCGUAGAGAUCGGGAGGAACAUCUGUGGCGAAGGCGACUGCCUGGACCAGCACUGACACUGAGGCACGAAAGCGUGGGGAGCAAACAGG